UACAGAGGUCCCAAGCGUUGUUCGGAUUCACUGGGCGUAAAGGGUGCGUAGGUGGCUUGGUAAGUUUGAUGUGAAAUCUCCGGGCUUAACCCGGAAAUGGCAUUGAAUACUAUUGAGCUGGAGGUUUGGAGGGGGGACUGGAAUUCUCGGUGUAGCAGUGAAAUGCGUAGAUAUCGAGAGGAACACCAGUGGCGAAGGCGAGUCUCUGGACAGUUACUGACACUGAGGCACGAAGGCCAGGGGAGCAAACGGG
rnacentral:rRNA from 1 species